AGAGUUUGAUCAUGGCUCAGAUUGAACGCUGGCGGCAUGCCUUACACAUGCAAGUCGAACGGUAACGGGCUUCGGGUGCCGACGAGUGGCGAACGGGUGAGUAAUGUAUCGGAACGUACCUUUCAGUGGGGGAUAACGUAGCGAAAGUUACGCUAAUACCGCAUAUUCUGUGAGCAGGAAAGCAGGGGAUCGCAAGACCUUGCGCUGAUUGAGCGGCCGAUAUCAGAUUAGCUAGUUGGUGAGGUAAAGGCUCACCAAGGCGACGAUCUGUAGCGGGUCUGAGAGGAUGAUCCGCCACACUGGAACUGAGACACGGUCCAGACUCCUACGGGAGGCAGCAGUGGGGAAUUUUGGACAAUGGGGGCAACCCUGAUCCAGCCAUGCCGCGUGAGUGAAGAAGGCCUUCGGGUUGUAAAGCUCUUUCGGCCGGGAAGAAAUCGUAUGGGUUAAUACCCUGUGCGGAUGACGGUACCGGCAUAAGAAGCACCGGCUAACUACGUG
rnacentral:rRNA from 1 species